AUUGAACGCUGGCGGCAGGCCUAACACAUGCAAGUCGAGCGGAUGAAGGGAGCUUGCUCCUGGAUUCAGCGGCGGACGGGUGAGUAAUGCCUAGGAAUCUGCCUGGUAGUGGGGGAUAACGUCCGGAAACGGGCGCUAAUACCGCAUACGUCCUGAGGGAGAAAGUGGGGGAUCUUCGGACCUCACGCUAUCAGAUGAGCCUAGGUCGGAUUAGCUAGUUGGUGGGGUAAAGGCCUACCAAGGCGACGAUCCGUAACUGGUCUGAGAGGAUGAUCAGUCACACUGGAACUGAGACACGGUCCAGACUCCUACGGGAGGCAGCAGUGGGGAAUAUUGGACAAUGGGCGAGAGCCUGAUCCAGCCAUGUCGCGUGUGUGAAGAAGGUCUUCGGAUUGUAAAGCACUUUAAGUUGGGAGGAAGGGCAGUAAGUUAAUACCUUGCUGUUUUGACGUUACCAACAGAAUAAGCACCGGCUAACUUCGUG
rnacentral:rRNA from 1 species